rnacentral:rRNA from 1 species
AUUGAACGCUGGCGGCAUGCCUUACACAUGCAAGUCGAACGGCAGCACGGGAGCAAUCCUGGUGGCGAGUGGCGAACGGGUGAGUAAUACAUCGGAACGUGCCCAAUCGUGGGGGAUAACGCAGCGAAAGCUGUGCUAAUACCGCAUACGAUCUACGGAUGAAAGCAGGGGAUCGCAAGACCUUGCGCGAAUGGAGCGGCCGAUGGCAGAUUAGGUAGUUGGUGAGGUAAAGGCUCACCAAGCCGUCGAUCUGUAGCUGGUCUGAGAGGACGACCAGCCACACUGGGACUGAGACACGGCCCAGACUCCUACGGGAGGCAGCAGUGGGGAAUUUUGGACAAUGGGCGAAAGCCUGAUCCAGCCAUGCCGCGUGCAGGAUGAAGGCCUUCGGGUUGUAAACUGCUUUUGUACGGAACGAAACGGCCUUUUCUAAUAAAGAGGGCUAAUGACGGUACCGUAAGAAUAAGCACCGGCUAACUACGUGCCAGCAGCCGCGGUAAUACGUAGGGUGCAAGCGUUAAUCGGAAUUACUGGGCGUAAAGCGUGCGCAGGCGGUUAUGUAAGACAGUUGUGAAAUCCCCGGGCUCAACCUGGGAACUGCAUCUGUGACUGCAUAGCUAGAGUACGGUAGAGGGGGAUGGAAUUCCGCGUGUAGCAAUGAAAUGCGUAGAAUGCGGAGGAACACCGAUGGCAAAGGCAUUCCCCUGGACCUGUCCUGAGGCUCUUGACAAAGCGUGGGGGGCAACCAGGGGAAAUACCCUGAUUGUCCAACGAGAAUUCCACAAUAGAAGUAGGCUCUCGAUACCGCUCAACCUCCCGGGGGGCCCGUGCCUACCUUCCUCCCCCUCCCCCCGCCCACUAUUAGGGGAUGAGGAGGUCGCCCCACUACCCCGAACAUCUC